AGUUUGAUCCUGGCUCAGAGUGAACGCUGGCGGCAGGCCUAACACAUGCAAGUCGAACGGCAGCACAGUAAGAGCUUGCUCUUAUGGGUGGCGAGUGGCGGACGGGUGAGGAAUACAUCGGAAUCUACUCUUUCGUGGGGGAUAACGUAGGGAAACUUACGCUAAUACCGCAUACGACCUACGGGUGAAAGCGGAGGACCUUCGGGCUUCGCGCGGUUGAAUGAGCCGAUGUCGGAUUAGCUAGUUGGCGGGGUAAAGGCCUACCAAGGCGACGAUCCAUAGCUGGUCUGAGAGGAUGAUCAGCCACAUUGGGACUGAGACACGGCCCAAACUCCUACGGGAGGCAGCAGUGGGGAAUAUUGGACAAUGGGCGCAAGCCUGAUCCAGCCAUGCCGCGUGAGUGAUGAAGGCCUUAGGGUUGUAAAGCUCUUUCACCGGAGAAGAUAAUGACGGUAUCCGGAGAAGAAGCCCCGGCUAACUUCGUGCCAGCAGCCGCGGUAA
rnacentral:rRNA from 1 species